GAGGGGUUAUAGACUGAAGCUGCUAACUUUGUUCUGGGGCUACAAGCUCCGCCACUCU
rnacentral:tRNA from 1 species